UUAAGAGUCACCAGGUCACGCUGGUAUGUAAUUCUCACACGAAUUUAAUUUCCCACUUCACAUGUGUAUUUGUUCAAAGUACUAUGGGUAUUCUUCAGUACCGCUCCCAAAUCUCUGCUCACUUUUAUAUGCAAUACAUCCCAUCACAGUAUUUUGACACCGCUCUGCUUGUGCGGGACAACAGAUUGCUACUUAUCCAGUCACUCUUAUUAACAGAUGGAUAUGCUAUGCCUUUCCUGUGUGUGAGGUCUUGCUCUAGAAUGCUGCUUGUAAUCUUUUGCAUUGAAGAGUAUUUUUUGUACGCCCUCCGUUCCCUAUUAAUUGACUCUAAUUUAGUAUAAAGUUGUACUAAAUCUGAGUCAAUUAAUAGGGAACUGAGGGAGUAGUUUCAAAUAUUAGCCUAUGUGUGUCAUCUUCGUUUGAGAAUGCAUGGUUCUGGACUGGUCUAGUGAGAACCAGGCACUUCGCCACUUGCUUGUAAAUACUUAUUUACCUUGGUUAUGCAUUUUUUCGACCUGAAAUAUAAAUCUUCUGUUUAGGCAUAUGAUUCUUUUUUUCCUAUACGCUACAUUUGGUUAAAUGGUAUUUUCCGGGCACGAGAAGCCAUUCCAGUUAUUCUUAGAUGGUGUGAUAUUUGUCAGGCAUCCCCCAUGUGACUAGUUCUUUUGUUGCAUGAUUUUAUGGGCAUGUCAACAGAUGCUGGUAAUUUUUAUGAUGGGCCAGAGUCGAUGUUUGCCAGUUCUUAUGUUCGAUAUUUUACGGGAACAUUAGGCCAUGACAGUAGUUCUUGCAUGGCACAAUUUUAUGCACGUUAGAUCAAGGCAUCAUUUUUUCUGUGUCCACAAAUAUCCAUUGACCUCUUCCCAUCCUUAAUCAAAAUCUAAUUUCUACAACCGUUGCAUCAAAUAGAAAAUGCAUCUUCCAAUUGCAAGUGGUAACAAGAGUAUGCAUUAGAUGAUUAUUACAACAUAGUCUUGUUUGCUUUCAAAGAAUACACAUACUUUUCCGAAUCCUUUUUUGACCUUGAUGAGCAAUAAAUUUCCAGGAUUUUGCCUUGAAAUCGAGGGACGGAAGAAGAAGUAUGCAAGGGACUUGAACACGAAGAGCAAGUAUCUAGAGGCAAUGCUGCGGAGAUGGAAACAUUACAGUGUUAGUGCUCAUGUUGUACCUAGCUUGGUGUAGCCUGAGAUUGAUUAAAAAGCCGCACUCGAGCAGUCUUAUAUUUGUUUAACAAGAUGCUCCUGACAAAUGUGUAUGGAAAUUCUGCAUUGUGUAUUUUCAAAUGGGAAGCCAUACUGAACAGCUUCGAAGACCAUGGCAUUUGAUUGAUGCGCCCCUGUUGGGUUCAUGCUGAAACUCAAAUUAUACCAACUUGUCAUUCUUUUUUAUCUUAUUCUUCUUCUUUACUGUACAAUUUAUAUCAUUACCAGGCUAGCUACGACUUGCAAAAUUCCAGAGCUGUUUAGGAACCUAGUUGUGAGAGCCUGCUAUCGUAAUAAAUAAUUUUGUACCCAUUUUUCAUUCAUCUUUAAGACUGAGAGAUUUGAUU